AAGUUUCAAGUUUUAUUUGUCACAUGCCUUAAUUUACAGGUACAGUGGCAGUGAAAUGAAAGUGACGUCUGCGAUUGUGCCAAAAAAAAACCAUAAUAAUAAUAAUGUAAAGUCUGUUCAGAGGGUGUUGUGAAGUCAGUUAUGGGGUGUGUGUUAUGAGGAGUUCAGGAUCCGAGUGGCCUGGGGGAAGAAGCUCCUUUUCAGCCUCUCAGUCCUGGCUCUGAUGGAGCGAAGCCUCUACCUGAGGGCAGCCACUCAAACAGUCUGUGGUUGGGAUGGUGAGUGUUUGAUAAUCCGUCUUGCCCUGGACCUGCACCGCUGGGUGUAGAUGUCCUGGAGGCCGGGCAGUGCAGUACGGGUGAUGCGUUCAGCACAACGGAUGACUCGAUGCAGGGCCU